CUCUCUCUCUCUACAAGUUUACUCAUGAAAUCUUACCAGUACUUUCUCAUUCAUCACCAACAAUGUGGCCCAUCCACCAUUUCCCUCUGUUUGAAAUUGAGUGAGAGAGAGAAUACCUGCUUCUUCCUCUCUAUUUGAAAGAAGACUGAGAGAGGAGAGAGAGAUUCUCCUUCUCCAUUUUAGAGAGAGAAUGUAGGGGUGCUUGGGAGGAGAGAGAGAGAGAAUGUACAGGCUGCACCUUCCUCGCGUUACAGCAAGCCACAGACUCACUUCCAUGGACUAAGGUGACGAAUCAGAUGAUGGUGAAUUCUGUUAAUGAUCUUUGUGGAUAAAUGGACGAAUCAGAUGAUGGUGAAUUCUGGCAAGUAAAACCCAAGUAUUAAAUUUGACCAGAACUUGGUGGAUGUAUUCUUGUAUGGUUUGAUUAAGGGAGAGUUCUUUG